rnacentral:rRNA from 1 species
UACGGAGGAUGCAAGCGUUAUCCGGAAUGAUUGGGCGUAAAGGGCGCGUAGGCGGCCCGCACAAGUCUGCGGUGAAAACCCCCGGCUUAACCGGGGGCCGGCCGUGGAAACUGUCGGGCUGGAGGCUGGGAGAGGGCAGCGGAAUUCCCGGUGUAGCGGUGAAAUGCGUAGAGAUCGGGAGGAACACCGGCGGCGAAGGCGGCUGCCUGGACCAGUCCUGACGCUGAGGCGCGAAAGCUAGGGGAGCAAACAGG